UUGGAGAGUUUGAUCCUGGCUCAGGAUGAACGCUGGCGGCGUGCCUAAUACAUGCAAGUCGAGCGAACAGAUAAGGAGCUUGCUCCUUUGACGUUAGCGGCGGACGGGUGAGUAACACGUGGGUAACCUACCUAUAAGACUGGAAUAACUCCGGGAAACCGGGGCUAAUGCCGGAUAACAUUUAGAACCGCAUGGUUCUAAAGUGAAAGAUGGUUUUGCUAUCACUUAUAGAUGGACCCGCGCCGUAUUAGCUAGUUGGUAAGGUAACGGCUUACCAAGGCAACGAUACGUAGCCGACCUGAGAGGGUGAUCGGCCACACUGGAACUGAGACACGGUCCAGACUCCUACGGGAGGCAGCAGUAGGGAAUCUUCCGCAAUGGGCGAAAGCCUGACGGAGCAACGCCGCGUGAGUGAUGAAGGUCUUCGGAUCGUAAAACUCUGUUAUUAGGGAAGAACAAAUGUGUAAGUAACUGUGCACGUCUUGACGGUACCUAAUCAGAAAGCCACGGCUAACUACGUGCCAGCAGCCGCGGUAAUAA
rnacentral:rRNA from 1 species